rnacentral:tRNA from 1 species
GCCGGAGUGGUGGAAGUGGUAGACGCGCCAGACUCAAAAUCUGGUGUCCUUCGGGACGUGAGGGUUCGAGUCCCUCCUCCGGCA